UACAGAGGGGGCAAGCGUUGUUCGGAAUUACUGGGCGUAAAGGGCGCGUAGGCGGCCUUCUAAGUCGAACGUGAAAUCCCUGGGCUCAACCCAGGAACUGCGCCCGAUACUGGAAGGCUUGAAUCCGGGAGAGGGAUGCGGAAUUCCAGGUGUAGCGGUGAAAUGCGUAGAUAUCUGGAGGAACACCGGUGGCGAAGGCGGCAUCCUGGUUCGAUACUGACGCUGAGGUGCGAAAGCGUGGGGAGCAAACAGG
rnacentral:rRNA from 1 species